rnacentral:lncRNA from 1 species
AAGUGACAUUGCCCAAUUACGUGUUUGUCCCGAAGCCACUCCUGUGUUGUCUUGACUGUGUGCUUAGGGUCGUUGUCCUGCUUAGGGUCAUUGUCCUGUCGCCCCGGUCUGAGGUUCCCUCAAAAUAAUCGUUCAGAGAAGAACUUUUAUGUUUAGUGCCCCUUCAGGGACAAACACGAGGAGAGGAUAUUCUGAAAGCCUUUGUCACAUUUUUUUGCUGAUAAUAAUAUUGACUGGUCAAACAUGUGAGGGAAGGAGAAGGGACUCAUAGGCCUGAUGAGAAAGAGAAAGGAUAUUCCCGAAUUUGUUACAUUUCAUUGUAUCAUUCAUCAGGAAGCGCUUGUGGCUAAACUCAAAUACUGUGACUUACAGAACGUGAUGCAGCAAGUCGUGUGUGUGUGGUGAACAUUAUUGUUGCGAGGGCACUGAAUCACCGGCAAUUCCGCAAGUUGCUGGAGGAAUACCAGACAGAGUACGGCGACUUGAUAUUUCACAAUAAGACAUCACCUGCCACCUGAACACGGUGAAUCUCCAGCUCCAAGGGAAAGCUAAAACUCUGGUCAAAAUGUUGCGUGUGGUCACAACAUUUCAAAGUAAAAUAACCUCACUGUUCAUACCUGACAGACAGUUUGUUCAUUUCCCAAAACUCAGAGCGGUCACCACAUCCAACCCAGACAUACUGCAACAUUUUAGCUAUGACGCAUUUGCAGUGGUGUAAAGUUUAAAGUAAAAAUACUUUAAAGUACUACAUAACUAGGAUUUUUUGGUAUCUGUACAUUACUUUACUAUUUAUAUUUUUGACAACUUUUACUUCGCUACAUUUCUAAAGAAAUGUAUGUACUUUUUACAUUUUCCCUGACACCCAAAAGUACUAGUUACAUUGUGAAUGCUUAGCAGGACAGAAAAUGGUUGAAUUCGCACAUUUAUCAAGAGAACAUCCCUGCUCAUCCUUACUGCCUCUGAUCUGGUGGACUCACUAAACACAAAUACUUUGUUUGUAAAUUAUGUCUGAGUGUUGGAGUGUGACCCUGGCUAUCCGUUAAAAAAAAAUUGUGCCGUCUGGUUUGCUUAAUAUAAGGAUUUUUUAAAUGAUUUGUACUUUUAUUUUGAUACUUAAGUAUAUUUUAGCAACUACAUUUACUUUUGAUACUUAAGUAUAUUUAAAACCAAAUACUUUUAGGCUUUUACUCAAGUAGUAUUUUACUGGGUGACUUUCACUUUUACUUGAGUUAUUUUCUAUUAAGGUGUCUUUACUUUUACUCAUGUAUGAGAAUUGAGUACUUUUUCCACCACAGUGCAUUUGUGCGUGUGUUGGAAGAGUUGAAGUUGGAGUUUGAGUCAAGAUUCAAGGAUAUCAUGGACUACUUCAUUGAGACCCCCUUUCAUGUGCCAAUGUCAUCUCUGAAACCAGUCAUCACAGCCCUCUGUCCUGACCGUGCUGGAAUAGAGAGUGAGAUAGUGGAGCUGCUGGCAAAUGACACAUUGCAAGGUGAACUAAGAUCAGGUGUUACCCAUUUCUGGAGCCUUGUCAGACACAGAGUAUCCACUUCUGAAGCAGUGUGUGCAAAACAUUUUUUUUUUGUCAGCACCUAUUCAUGUGAAGCAACAUUAUCAACAAUGAACAUUGUGAAACAAAAACAAAGAAACAGACUGACCAAUGCAAACCUGGAUUGCCUGACAAGGAUAGCAACAACAGACUAUACAUUUAGAAUUAAUUCAGUCAAGGAGCUCAUCCAACUACUGAGGUAACCCUUAACAUGGGUCUUAGGCAUGUGAUGUAGCCUAUUUGAUGCGUGUGCAGUAUGUAUAUAUUUGUGAUGUACAUCAAAUCAAUUGCAUGUGCUCUUUUGUUCUGAAUUUGCUCUCAUUUGAUAAUUGAUAAUUUUGGAAGAAAAAGUACAACAAAUUAAAGAUCUGUGCGGCCCUCUGAAUUCACUGUCUCAACCCAACUUGGCCCCCUUACAAAAAAUUGUGAGUAACACUGAAAUAGGGCUAUCUUCUGUAUACCACCCCUACCUUGUCACAACACAACUGAUUGUCUCAAAUGCAUUAAGAAGGAAAUAAAUUCCACAAAUUAACUUAACAUGGCAAAAUGGUUAAUUGAAAUGGAUUUCAGGUGACUACCUCAUGAAGCUGGUUGAGAGAAUACCAAGAGUGUGCAAAGCUGUCAAGGC